rnacentral:rRNA from 1 species
UACGUAGGGUCCGAGCGUUGUCCGGAAUUAUUGGGCGUAAAGGGCUCGUAGGCGGUUUGUCACGUCGGGAGUGAAAACUCGGGGCUUAACCCCGGGCCUGCAGUGGGUACGGGCAGACUAGAGUGCGGUAGGGGUGACUGGAAUUCCUGGUGUAGCGGUGGAAUGCGCAGAUAUCAGGAGGAACACCGAUGGCGAAGGCAGGUCACUGGGCCGCAACUGACGCUGAGGAGCGAAAGCGUGGGGAGCGAACAGG